GAUCGGGAUAACACCUGGAAACAGAUGCUAAUACCGGAUAAUAACAGAUGAUGCCUAUCAACUGUUUAAAAGAUGGUUCUGCUAUCACUCUUGGAUGGACCUGCGGUGCAUUAGCUAGUUGGUAGGGUAACGGCCUACCAAGGCGAUGAUGCAUAGCCGAGUUGAGAGACUGAUCGGCCACAUUGGGACUGAGACACGGCCCAAACUCCUACGGGAGGCAGCAGAC
rnacentral:rRNA from 1 species